rnacentral:rRNA from 1 species
AUUGAACGCUGGCGGAAUGCUUUACACAUGCAAGUCGAACGGUAGCACGGGGCAACCUGGUGGCGAGUGGCGAACGGGUGAGUAAUAUAUCGGAACGUGCCCAAUCGUGGGGGAUAACGUAGCGAAAGUUACGCUAAUACCGCAUACGAUCUACGGAUGAAAGCGGGGGAUCGCAAGACCUCGCGCGAAUGGAGCGGCCGAUAUCAGAUUAGGUAGUUGGUGGGGUAAAGGCUCACCAAGCCAACGAUCUGUAGCUGGUCUGAGAGGACGACCAGCCACACUGGAACUGAGACACGGUCCAGACUCCUACGGGAGGCAGCAGUGGGGAAUUUUGGACAAAUGGGCGCAAGCCUGAUCCAGCCAUUCCGCGUGCAGGAUGAAGGCCUCGG